GGGAAGAAACACCAAAGGGUUCUCUCUUUCCACACGCCAGAGAGAAGAGGCCAUGUGAGGACAAUGAGAAGACAGCUGUCUACAAGCCAGAAAGAAAGGACUCACCAAAAGCCAACCAUGAUGACACUUUGAUCUUGGAUUUCUAGCCUCCAGAAGUCUGAGAAAAUAUAUACUCUCUGCUGUUUUAGCCACCCAGUCUGAGCCACAUAAAAGAAGGUUUCUUCCUCAUUGUCCCUCAUCUUCUGAUUCUACAUUCUUAGAAGACUCUUCACUGUCAUCAGAUGGCCCUUCUGUUCUCUUGAAGCCCAUCGGCCAGAGUUGCAAGCUUCUGGGUUAACUCUAUGUAAUAAAUCAACAUUUCUCUAAAUAAAAUUUGUAUGUUUAAAAAAUCAA